rnacentral:rRNA from 1 species
UGGGGGAUAUUGCACAAUGGGGGAAACCCUGAUGCAGCGACGCCGCGUGGAGGAAGAAGGUUUUCGGAUUGUAAACUCCUGUCGUUAGGGACGAUAAUGACGGUACCUAACAAGAAAGCACCGGCUAACUACGUGCCAGCAGCCGCGGUAAAACGUAGGGUGCAAGCGUUGUCCGGAAUUACUGGGUGUAAAGGGAGCGCAGGCGGACCGGCAAGUUGGAAGUGAAAUCCAUGGGCUCAACCCGUGAAUUGCUUUCAAAACUGCUGGCCUUGAGUAGUGCAGAGGUAGGUGGAAUUCCCGGUGUAGCGGUGGAAUGCGUAGAUAUCGGGAGGAACACCAGUGGCGAAGGCGACCUACUGGGCACCAACUGACGCUGAGGCUCGAAAGCAUGGGUAGCAAACAGGAUUAGAUACCCUGGUAGUCCAUGCCGUAAACGAUGAUUACUAGGUGUUGGAGGAUUGACCCCUUCAGUGCCGCAGUUAACACAAUAAGUAAUCCACCUGGGGAGUACGACCGCAAGGUUGAAACUCAAAGGAAUUGACGGGGGCCCGCACAAGCAGUGGAGUAUGUGGUUUAAUUCGAAGCAACGCGAAGAACCUUACCAAGUCUUGACAUCCCUUGACGAUGCUGGAAACAGCAUUUCUCUUCGGAGCAAGGAGACAGGUGGUGCAUGGUUGUCGUCAGCUCGUGUCGUGAGAUGUUGGGUUAAGUCCCGCAACGAGCGCAACCCUUAUGGUCAGUUACUACGCAAGAGGACUCUGGCCAGACUGCCGUUGACAAAACGGAGGAAGGUGGGGAUGACGUCAAAUCAUCAUGCCCUUUAUGACUUGGGCUACACACGUACUACAAUGGCGUUAAACAAAGAGAAGCAAGACCGCGAGGUGGAGCAAAACUCAGAAACAACGUCCCAGUUCGGACUGCAGGCUGCAACUCGCCUGCACGAAGUCGGAAUUGCUAGUAAUCGUGGAUCAGCAUGCCACGGUGAAUACGUUCCC